UCGAGUAGCUGCAAUUGAGAGUUGAGAGUUGAGGCUUGAUAGUGUUUCUGCCGAUGUAUUGAACCUGCCUGGCUGGAAACCUGAAAGUCAUUGCUGAACUUGGCAGGUGAAAAGGAAUGAUGGCGGUAAUGGCGAGCUUCGUUAGCAUCUCUGCUCCUCCGGUCAUCUAUCGGAAUCGGAAUCGUUGUCGUUCGCCACAUCAUGGUAUUACCCAUACAAUCCAAUUCAAGGGAGCAGCAGUGAUAUUGCCUGUGAAAUGUUCCGGGCCAACUGAGAACGCGGAUUCGGAAGCUGAAGAAUCGUACCGUCCUUCGUGGAGUCUUUCUGCAUACAAAUGGUACGCAGGACUUGGAGCCUUGGGGUUUAUCGAAACCGGAUACUUGACUUAUCUCAAGUUUACAAAUUCCGAUGCCUUCUGCCCUGUUAGUGGCGGCAGUUGCAGUGAUAUCCUCAACAGUGAUUAUUCCUAUGUUUUUGGUGUUCCUCUUCCAUUGAUUGGUAUGGUUGCAUACGGGUUAGUUGCAUCAGUGGGUCUACAUCUGUCGGGGAAGAGUUUGCUUUCUGGACUGGGUGAAACUGAUGGUCGCUUGAUUUUACUUGGGAGCUCAACGUCGAUGGCAGCGGCUAGUGCAUACUUUUUAUACCUUCUGAGCACAAAGUUUGCAGGAGCAUCAUGCUCUUACUGCUUGAUGUCAGCUGUUCUGUCUUUCAGCUUGUUUUUCCUCACACUAAAGGAAUUCGGGUUGCAAGAGAUACAAAAGAUGGUGGGUCUGCAGCUAGUUAUAGCCAGUGCAGUAAUUGCUGCUUUGAGUACUUCGUAUAGUACUCAAGCUACUCAAACUGUAUCCACGAGGUCAGCAGAAAUUGAUCUGCAACCAUUUACAAUUGAGAUAAAAACAGAAUCAAGUCCCUUAGCUAUUUCUCUAGCAAAGCAUCUGCAUUCCAUAGGAGCUAAAAUGUAUGGAGCUUUCUGGUGUUCUCAUUGCUUAGAACAGAAAGAGAUGUUUGGACGUGAAGCAGCAAAGAUGUUAGACUAUGUAGAAUGCUUCCCAGGUGGAUAUAGGAGAGGAACCAAAAUAGACAAGGCAUGUGCAGAUGCUGGAAUUGAAGGUUUCCCAACUUGGGUGAUAAACGGCCAGGUUUUGAGUGGUGAACAAGAAUUUUCAGAACUGGCAGCAUCAUCCGGAUUUGUUCUCAAAGAUUUCAAUCCCAGCUGAUCAGAUUCCAAUGUAGCAAUCAUGCUGAACUGAAACGUGCGGAUUUUACAUGGCCUUAAUUCAGCUUAUGUUGUUGAAAACCAUUUUAUGCCUCCAACAAUUUUGAAGAACAUGGAAGCUUCAACAGAUCUGAAGAAUUUGGGAGGUCCAGGGUGACGCAUAGGAGUCAUUCAUGUAUAUAGUACAGCCUCCCUUCCCACCUCUUUUGGCUCCAUAUACCUGGACAUAUUGAUCCAAUCUCUUGCUUUGUUGUAGAGUAAAUACAAAAGGCACUGUAAAUGUUCUCAUGUGGUUCCCAUCAUUUACCAUCUUUGGUAAUGAUGGUUUUACCCAUUUCUUGAGGCCAAAUCAUUGCUGAAGGCAUAUUUUGCAUCCUUUGUAGCAAGGACUCUAGCUAUAAAUUGGUUGGAACUUUUCUAGUGUUUCAUAACAGUGAUUUAAGGACUUGAGCAAAUUCUGUUUGCUAUUAAGGCUUUUUUUUUUU